rnacentral:lncRNA from 1 species
UUUCUCACAAAUCCCAAACACCACAAACCAGUUGCAUAUCAGAUCACACCACUUGUCGUACCUAUUCUAUAAACCAAGUUCUGGCCAACAUCAACAUUUAUUUUCCAUUUUCCAACUGGUGGCGGAGACCAUAAAAGUUGUGACCAUCUUUUCCAACUCUUUGUGGAAACUUGCCCCUGAUUCAAUUGAUUGGCAUAUACAAUCUCAUU